GAGAAAUCGGAAAAACCAAAAAAGAAAGAAAAAGACAAACCUAAUAGUGAAUCAUAUGACACGUGCAGAGCGAGGCACUGUGAGACUCAGGAUUAAGGAGCUGGUAAGAUGGAUAGCUCACCAGGGAAAGGUGUUUGUUUGCAGCUGAGCCUGAUGAGCUGUUUGAUGCUCCCAUCCCGCACGACAGAAGGAGAGAACUGACUUCUGCAAGCUGUCCUCUGAGCUCCAAUGAGGGCCAUUGUAUGAACCAUCUCCACCCACCCCACCUCCAACCCUCACAAUGAAAAAACCUCCUAGACGGAUGGAUGCUGCUGACCUUGCUAGUUAUCAGUGGCAGUGGGCAUUCUUGAUGCCUAACCCUUUUAUGCUUUUUGCUGCUUCUGGAAAUGAAGGAGAAACCAGCUCAGGAAGACCUCAAGGUAAACCUGGAAGGAAGACUAGACUCACCUCUGGGGUCUGCCUCCGUACACAGUGCGCUCCCCAGGCGGAAACUAGCUCUUUCUAUGAUGGAUAGUGGAGACAGAGAGAACACAGCCAAGGUCCUUGCUGGAAUCCGUUUUCUCACGAAAUUCUCAGGCUUCCCUCUUCCCUUGGCUCUGGCUUCCUUAACACCCUCCCCACCCCCACCCCGCCCUUACCCAGCCCUUACAUCUGCUGCUAUUGUCACCACUCAGAAGCCCAAUUUCCAUGAGCGUUCCUAUUCUCAUCCAGUGCCAGCCAGGGCCUAUCCAACAAUCCAACAGCCUUCUAAAAGUGGCAGCCCAUCCAUAAACACGGGGUAAAAUAAUAAAGGCUUUUGUCCCUUAA